GGGGCGGGCAGCAACCGCGUCGUUCUAUGCCUGUGGCUUGUCCUGGCAGCCCGGUGGCUCUAAAAAAAACUCCGAGAAAGUUGCGUCUUCCUCCCGGGCGCCGAGGAGGUGGCAACGCGAAUUACGUUUUAUAGGUGUGUCUAGGCAACACAAGGGAAUGUGAAAGACUUUCAGAGGGAAUGUUUGUGAAUACAUCUGGUGUGUACUAAAAAGCUGGAAAACCCCUAAGUAAAUGCAAUAUCGAUAGAAAGCGAGUUUCUUGAAGAGUCAUCUGCUAAACUCCACUAGAGUCAUCUCUACAGGUGUGGUUAAGAGAAAAAAAAAUUGCCAUUAAGGAAUCAGCAAAUAGGAUGUCUGAAGUGAGGAUAUAGCACCUAUCUCUGAGAUUAAAGUCAUCUGAUCAAAAAUGAUGCCUCUGAGACUAUAACAAAGGAAUGAAUAAUGAAAUAUAAGAAUGGGGAUUCUGCACUAACUCUAUGGGGAAGAAAACAAUGUCUCUGUUCAUCAUGAGAAAUGCUCAGCGACUGCAGACAUAAAGAGAAAGCUUUCAAUUAAAGUUUCAAUGAUGGGAUAGGAACUGAGAAGUCUGUGGAGUUUUCUGCCUAGGAGUACCCUUGGAAAAGCCACUGCUAUGCCCAACCAGCACUGGGAAUCCCAGAUCACAUGCAAUCAUAGGAGUUGCCCUGGAGGCAGAAGCUCAGCACAUGUUCUGGUACAAGGAGAUUACAGUGUUGUGCAAAGCAAAGGGAUGAAUGAUGCCCAACUCUCUAACAUGGGCCUCGGUUUCCACAUCGAGGUUGGAAAUGAGCUAGGAAGCAGAUCCACCAUAAAUGGAGAAAGAAGAGAAACAAGUUGAGCUUUUAAUGACCCCGUAGCCUGACUCUUUGGUAUGGAAAUGGAAAGAGAUCCUCAUGGAAACAUAAAUAAAAUAUAUCACAUGUAACUUAUACCAAUAAUUAUUUUCUCCCCCAGUACCUCAAUUUUGCCCAGAUUGGACUCUAUUUUAUUUCCUUAUUUUUCCACAGUAAUUUACUUAAGUAAAACCAGGAUUUAUUUUAUUCAUCUCCAUGUCAGUUGCUAAGUCCAAGGGAUGUAUAUAGUUUAAAAAAUAUCACAAAGGAUGAUAUGGUGAAAUUGAACAACACAUUAUUACCUGAUGUACAGUCAUUGAUUUUGUAUACUAGCCUUUACCCCUGGCUACUGAUAAUUUUGGAUUUUGAAGAUUCAAAGACAGAGACUUGUAAAUACUUUAGUUUUUACACUUCUUUAUCAUACUCAUACCUGGGAUGGAAAAGUAUCAUUUAAUAUAUUAAGAACAUUGUUAUAGUACAUGUAUUUAAAUAACUCACAAGAGCAAGUAAUCUUACCUCAUGUCAUCUAUUUUUGAAAAAAUAUUUUGUGUAUUUCCACAUGCUUCUUCCAGAUGACCUUUAGCAAAACUUUGUGAAGUUUCAUUGUGGCUGUUGUCUUAGAAAGAUGGUCUUGUUAAUAAGGUCAGUGUUUUAGCCUUGCAAUAUAAGAUUAUGUGCAUUUGUUUAGAGGGAGACUUUAGGAUACAGCGAAGUGUUUUACAAAUGUUUACCAUUUUUAUUCUUAUUAGAUUUUUGAAAGUAUUUGGUUUAAAAUUUUCUUCUUUUUAUUCAACCAGCUCUUUAAAUUACCCAUCAAUUCUUGUUAAGAGUGUGUAUUGUAUAUCUCUCUAUACAUUUCAUGUAUUUUUGUAUGAAUUGUGCUAUUUUUAUAAUUUUUCUAUUUAGCCUCUGUAUCCAAUAUGAUUCAAUGUAUACAUGGA
rnacentral:lncRNA from 1 species